CCAGAAAACAAAACAAUUAAACUAGCUAUACCAAGAUCUUAAGUGAUAGUGUGAUCGAAGCUUUAAGACGUCACUGGAUCCCCGAUGCUAGCUUGGCGGCACUAUAAGGAAAGAAAAGAAAGGAGGGUAAGCGUGGGAGCUUAGUAAGUACAUAUAUGCAAAUAAAGUGUAAUUAAAAGAAAAUCAUGCUACAUAUAUGCAAAUAAAGUGUAAUUAAAAGAAAAUCAUAUUCAUCAAACGGUAACUUGUCAUGCUUAAAAGAUAUAAAUCUUUUAACAUCUCUAUCUUACUCUUCCUUUCAUUCAUGUAUACUUAAUACAUCUCGUCCCUUACUCAGGUAUUAUCCAUAAGUUCAGUAUACAUACCUCAUCAAGUUUUCACUAAUUAAAUCUUUAAUGUUACCCCUUGAACUCUCGGAAUACAUAUGGAUACGCGGGGAAUUUGCAUUUAAUUACCAUAUAAGAAAUCAGGGCUACCUCGUGCUAUGAAACGCUCACAUUUGAGCUACUCACGGGCCUUUUUAUCAUGUCAGGAGUCGGACCCCAUAACUAUCAUGUAACAUUCACUCAUUGAGCCACUCACGGGUCUGUACACAAAGCCAGUACCCGGACCCACGUUACUUAUAAUAUUUAUCUCAUGAAACAGACUCAACUCAUGAGUUCAGACCACAUAAUUUUAUAACAUACCCCUUUGUAUCCUAUGCUAUGUCUAAGGUCCAACGGGAUUUCUUAACUAGCCGAAUAGCAUCGUACUUGAUCACAACUACUUUACUCACAUAACAUGUCAUUUAUACAUUUAUGGCAAUAAAUAGAAUUUAGAUACAUAACAACAAUGAGCUAAUUACACAUGUAUAUUAUCAAAAUAUUCCAAAGUAAGCUUCAAUAACACAUUAUUCACAUAUGUACUUACCUCAAUACAAAAUGAUGAAGACGAGCUUAAUCCUUGUAAACUUUGUUCUUACCCCGAUCAAGACCCGAAUCACGCUUCUAUUGAUCUAAAUUAAUAAAAUUUAUUUAUUUCAUCAGCACAUCAAUUUAGACACUCAAAAUUUCAUAAUUGGGCAAAAUGACUAUUUUGCCCCUAGACUUUCACAAAAUGACCAUUUUACCCCUAUGCUCGAAAGUCAAUUUUUAUCGAAUUUCUCCCUAUUAUACGCCUAGUGAACCAUUUUUACUCUUAUAACAAUCCAAAAUUUAUGCUAUUUCACACAUUUAUCAUCUAUUUUACAACUUAUGCAAAAUAGUCCCUAUUAGGGUUUUCGUAAGAAAUCCCUUCACAAAAGUUGUUUCUUACUCAUCUAAGACUCAUAUUCUUCCACAAAAAUUCAGAAAACAACUUAAAUGCUCUCAUGGAAAAACCCUAUACUUUCAAAAAUUUUGCAAAAUAGUCCCCUCAUUAGAAAGCUCAUGACACAAGGGUCUCAAAAAUGUAAAAAUCAUUAAGAAAACUCAUUAAAAUCACUUACUUGUAGAGAGACUAAGUGGCUGAAAAUUUUGAAGCUCAAAAACCCUUUAAUG
rnacentral:lncRNA from 1 species